rnacentral:rRNA from 1 species
UUGACGGAGAGUUUGAUCCUGGCUCAGGACGAACGCUGGCGGCGGGCUUAAUACAUGCAAGUCGAACGCAGUCGACCUUCGGGUCACAUGACUGAGUGGCGAACGGGUGAGUAACACGUGAGAAACCUGCCUCGAAGACUGGAAUAACCCGGGGAAACCCGGGCUAAUACCGGAUAUCCCCAGAUGGNCGCAUGGCCGACUGAGGAAAUGCUCCGGCGCUUCGAGAGGGUCUCACGGCCUAUCAGCUAGUUGGUGAGGUAACGGCUCACCAAGGCAUCGACGGGUAGCUGGUCUGAGAGGACGAUCAGCCACACUGGGACUGAGAUACGGCCCAGACUCCUACGGGAGGCAGCAGUAGGGAAUCUUGCGCAAUGGGCGAAAGCCUGACGCAGCCACGCCGCGUGAGUGAUGAAGGCCUUCGGGUCGUAAAGCUCUUUCAGCAGGGACGAAAAUGACGGUACCUGCAGAAGAAGCCCCGGCCAACUACGUGCCAGCAGCCGCGGUAACACGUAGGGGGCAAGCGUUGUCCGGAUUUAUUGGGCGUAAAGGGCUCGUAGGCUGUUCAGUAAGUCAGGUGUGAAAACUCGAGGCUCAACCUCGAGACGCCACUUGAUACUGCUGUGACUUGAGUUCGGUAGAGGAGUGUGGAAUUCCUAGUGUAGCGGUGAAAUGCGCAGAUAUUAGGAGGAACACCAACGGCGAAGGCAGCACUCUGGGCCGAUACUGACGCUGAGGAGCGAAAGCGUGGGGAGCGAACAGGAUUAGAUACCCUGGUAGUCCACGCCGUAAACGUUGGGCACUAG